CGAGCCUACCAGAUUAAUACAGAUCUAGGGACACAGGCCAAAUGCUUUGAGGAGAACAAUGCACGAAUCGAUGUUGACUGGUGGAGUAAGAUUUUCGCCAUGAAGAUGCCAGAAGGAGGAAUGAGGUUCCCCAUCUUAGGGAAGUUGGUAAAGGCUCUUCUGUCAUUGUUCACUGGCCCUCUUGUCGAAGGAUCAUUUAACAUGAUGGAUGAUAUAAUUGAGAAAGACAGGGUUAGGCUGAACAUUGAGACUUAUGAAGGCUUAGCCAUUCUCAAGUCCCACAUGAAGGUAAUGGGCAAAACUGCAUCUAAAAUGCAAAUUACCCCUGCAUUAAGGAGAUUUUGCCUGUCUUCUUAUGAGACAUACCAAAAUCAUCUGAAGAAAAAGAAGGUGAACCUUGACAAGCAAAAGGAAAGGAAACUGAGGGAAGCUGUGAAGGUCCUCUCAGCAGUUAGGGUUAGAAAAGUAAAGAAAGGUUCCACCUCUUCUGUUUGUGCUAAAGCCUCCACCUCUUCCGCCCUUGGAGUUAAACAAAAAGCUGCUGCUACAGCCUCCACCCCUGCAGUUAAAGGCGCUGCUGCUACAGUCUCCACCUCCUCCACUGUUGGAGUUAAAGGCAAAACUGCUGCUACAGCCUCCACCCCCUCCACCUCUCCUGGAGCCACUCCUGCACAUGUAGCUAGUCAAACACUAAAACGGGUGUCAGGUGUAGCCAAGCUUCAGGAAUAUGGUUUCACAGCCAAAAAGCAGAAAAAGUGAAAAGCACUCUAGAGACAUUUGCACAAGAAAAG
ensembl:lncRNA